ACAUUGGUGACAGGUGGUGCAUGGUUGUCGUCAGCUCGUGUCGUGAGAUGUUGGGUUAAGUCCCGCAACGAGCGCAACCCUUGUCUUUAGUUGCCAUCAUUAAGUUGGGCACUCUAGAGAGACUGCCAGGGAUAACCUGGAGGAAGGUGGGGAUGACGUCAAAUCAUCAUGCCCCUUAUGCUUAGGGCUACACACGUGCUACAAUGGGUAGUACAGAGGGUUGCCAAGCCGUAAGGUGGAGCUAAUCCCUUAAAGCUACUCUCAGUUCGGAUUGUAGGCUGAAACUCGCCUACAUGAAGCUGGAGUUACUAGUAAUCGCAGAUCAGAAUGCUGCGGUGAAUGCGUUCCCGGGUCUUGUACACACCGCCCGUCACACCACGGGAGUUGGAGACGCCCGAAGCCGAUUAUCUAACC
rnacentral:rRNA from 1 species